rnacentral:misc_RNA from 1 species
CAGAGUUUUUAACUCCCAAACCCAUGUGAACUUACCAUUGUUGCCUCGGCGGAGCCUACCCUGUAGCUACCCUGUAGGGUGGUUACCCUGUAGCGCCCCGCCGGUGGAUUUUCAAACUCUUGUUAUUUUAUGUAAUCUGAGAGUCUUAUUUUAAAUAAGUCA